GCACCCGUAGUCUAACGGAUAAAAUUAUCGCCUCCGACGCGAUCGAUCCGGGUUCGAUUCCCGGCGGGUGUACCA
rnacentral:tRNA from 1 species